rnacentral:lncRNA from 10 species
GGAUUCAGCUCUACACAGGGCUGUCUUGGUCCUUGCUAUCUUUUAGCUAAAAUGUAGACACAUAAAUAAACAAUUACAUAUAGUGUGACACAUUCUACAGUGGGGGAAUCCAGGGUUCUCAGGCAGAUUGUAGGAGAGCCACUUCAUCUAGAUCACUUAUUUUCAGUGCUUCAACUGUGUUUUCAAUGAAGAUGUCACUUUGAAAAUAAUACUUCUAAUUUAUGCCCCAAGUGUUAUUGCUUUUAACUUACCAUAGUUUUACUACAUAAAAUAAAUGAACUGCCCUCAUCAAUAGACCAUGUAACUACAUUGGAUAGAGCUUGUAAUAGGUUUUGUGUCCUUUUCUGUGGAAUAUCUGCUUUGAAGUAUCAACUGAGAUAUUUCCUGCUUCUUAACAAGAUUUCUUAGUCCUCAGUAUUUACAUUUAAAAAUCCAAACAGCUUUGACAACAAUUGUAAAAAAAAAAAUCAUUAAACUUCUGCUUUUCCC